rnacentral:rRNA from 1 species
CCCGACUGCUAUUUGGGUGAGGAUAAGCCAUGCGAGUUGAAUGGGAUACCUAAAUUUCCCAUGGCAAACUGCUCAGUAACACAUGAUCAACUUACCCUAUAGAGAAAAAUAACCUCGGGAAACUGAGGAUAAUAUUUCAUAGUUGAAUAGGCUUGGAAAAGUUUUUCAAUAAAAGGGAUAAAAAAAAUGGUUUUUAUCUGCUAUAGGAUAGGAUCGUGGACGAUUAUGGUUGUUGGUGAGGUAACGGCUCACCAAGCCGAUAAUCGAUAGGGGCCGUGAGAGCGGGAGCCCCGAGAUGGGUACUGAGACAACGACCCAGGCCUUACGAGGCGCAGCAGGCGCGGAACCUCCGCAAUACACGAAAGUGUGACGGGGUUACCCAAAGUGUUCAAUUCUGAACUGUGGUAGGUGAGUAAUGUUCCCUACUAGAAAGGAGAGGGCAAGGCUGGUGCCAGCCGCCGCGGUAAAACCAGCUCUUCAAGUGGUCGGGAUAAUAUUGGGCUUAAAGUGUCCGUAGCCGGUUUAGUAAGUUCCUGGUAAAAUCGGGUAGCUUAACUAUCUGUAUGCUAGGAAUACUGCUAUACUAGAGGGCGGGAGAGGUCUGAGGUACUACAGGGGUAGGGGUGAAAUCUUAUAAUCCUUGUAGGACCACCAGUGGCGAAGGAGUCAGACUGGAACGCGCCUGACGGUGAGGGACGAAAGCCAGGGGAGCGAACCGGAUUAGAUACCCGGGUAGUCCUGGCCCGUAAACGAUGCAUACCAGGUGAUGGUACGGCCAUGAGCCAUAUCAGUGCCGUAGGGAAACCGUUAAGUGUGCCGCCUGGGAAGUACGGUCGCAAGGCUAAAACUUAAAGGAAUUGGCGGGGGAGCACCACAAGGGGUGAAGCCUGCGGUUCA